UAGAGUUUGAUCCAUGGCUCAGAUUGAACGCUGGCGGCAUGCCUUACACAUGCAAGUCGAACGGCAGCACGGGGGCAACCCUGGUGGCGAGUGGCGAACGGGUGAGUAAUGCAUCGGAACGUGCCCAGUAGUGGGGGAUAACCAGUCGAAAGAUUGGCUAAUACCGCAUACGACCUUCGGGUGAAAGCGGGGGACCGCAAGGCCUCGCGCUAUUGGAGCGGCCGAUGUCUGAUUAGCUAGUUGGUGAGGUAAAGGCUCACCAAGGCGACGAUCAGUAGCUGGUCUGAGAGGACGGCCAGCCACACUGGGACUGAGACACGGCCCAGACUCCUACGGGAGGCAGCAGUGGGGAAUUUUGGACAAUGGGCGCAAGCCUGAUCCAGCCAUGCCGCGUGCGGGAAGAAGGCCUUCGGGUUGUAAACCGCUUUUGGCAGGAACGAAACGGCGCCCCCUAAUAUCGGGGCGCUAAU
rnacentral:rRNA from 1 species